rnacentral:rRNA from 2 species
AGUGAGUGGCGGACGGGUGAGUAACACGUGGGUAACCUGCCCUAAAGUGGGGGAUAACAUUUGGAAACAGAUGCUAAUACCGCAUAAAACCUAACACCGCAUGGUGUAGGGUUGAAAGAUGGUUUCGGCUAUCACUUUAGGAUGGACCCGCGGUGCAUUAGUUAGUUGGUGAGGUAAAGGCUCACCAAGACCGUGAUGCAUAGCCGACCUGAGAGGGUAAUCGGCCACACUGGGACUGAGACACGGCCCAGACUCCUACGGGAGGCAGCAGUAGGGAAUCUUCCACAAUGGACGAAAGUCUGAUGGAGCAACGCCGCGUGAGUGAAGAAGGUUUUCGGAUCGUAAAACUCUGUUGUUGGAGAAGAAUGUAUCUGAUAGUAACUGAUCAGGUAGUGACGGUAUCCAACCAGAAAGCCACGGCUAACUACGUGCCAGCAGCCGCGGUAAUACGUAGGUGGCAAGCGUUGUCCGGAUUUAUUGGGCGUAAAGCGAGCGCAGGCGGUUUCUUAAGUCUGAUGUGAAAGCCUUCGGCUCAACCGAAGAAGUGCAUCGGAAACUGGGAAACUUGAGUGCAGAAGAGGACAGUGGAACUCCAUGUGUAGCGGUGAAAUGCGUAGAUAUAUGGAAGAACACCAGUGGCGAAGGCGGCUGUCUGGUCUGUAACUGACGCUGAGGCUCGAAAGCAUGGGUAGCAAACAGGAUUAGAUACCCUGGUAGUCCAUGCCGUAAACGAUGAGUGCUAGGUGUUGGAGGGUUUCCGCCCUUCAGUGCCGCAGCUAACGCAUUAAGCACUCCGCCUGGGGAGUACGACCGCAA